CCUACGGGAGGCAGCAGUGGGGAAUAUUGGGCAAUGGGCGCAAGCCUGACCCAGCAACGCCGCGUGAAGGAAGAAGGCUUUCGGGUUGUAAACUUCUUUUCUCAGGGACGAAGAAGUGACGGUACCUGAGGAAUAAGCCACGGCUAACUACGUGCCAGCAGCCGCGGUAAUACGGAGGUGGCAAGCGUUAUCCGGAUUUAUUGGGUUUAAAGGGCGUGUAGGCGGUAGCGAAAGUUAGAUGUGAAAACUCAGGGCUCAACCCUGAGCCUGCAUUUGAAACUGUGUUUCUUGAGUGCUGGGGAGGCAAUCGGAAUGCAGGGUGUAGCGGUGAAAUGCGUAGAUAUACGGAGGAACACCAGUGGCGAAGGCAGAUUGCUGGACAGUAACUGACGCUGAGGCGCGAAAGCGUGGGGAGCAAACAGGAUUAGAUACCCCAGUAGUC
rnacentral:rRNA from 1 species